GAUGUCGCGGCAGACGUCCGCGACCGAGUGUGGCGGACUGGCGAGUGGCGACUGCGGAGGUCGGCGGUCGUCAACCGGUCUCACCUACGCGAGCGUACGCGAUCUGGACGAGCGGUUUCGGGUUUUUUUUUUUUUGAUUUUUUUAUUCUCGCGAACUGUUCACUUUUUCACUAGCGCGACGACGGCGGACACGUCUCCGCAAAAGUUAUCGGAAAACCGUUGCGAGACCGCUGCCAGCGAUUAUAUCACGCGCGCGCCAACACGCACACACACUACGACGGCGGCGGCGGUAGUAACUGCAGCUAGUGGUAGUAGUGGUAGUAGUAGUAGUAUAGUAGUUCCGUAGGUAUAUGGUAGUAACAGAGUAGAGUAGUAUUACGUCGAGUCAAGUACAAGGUUAUACUACUACGGCGGCGGCGCUGCACGUCUGGCAACCGGAUUGCGCAACGUCACUUUUAUUUUUCAUCACUAUUAUUAUUAAUUAUAAAAACGAUGUGUAGACGACCCUGCGCGUACUGCGGCGAAACGUGAGGCGGAUGGGAUAGCUGUAAGUAGGUAUACAAUCAAAAAAUCAAAAAA